rnacentral:lncRNA from 1 species
AUGCGCUGGCUGCCAAGCAAGGGAAGCGCCCGCUCCAGAUCCCAGCUCAUUAGGAGAAAUAACAGCAAAUUAAUUAAGCCAAUAGUUCGCUCUGCGCCAGCAGUUCCCCCAUCCCUGCCGACAUGGGGAGAGGGGAUGGGGCAGGCCAGAUCUGGGACACCUUUCCCAGGGGGAGCAUUGCCCUCAGCAUGGCACAGUGCUCCAGGUCCCUCUUGCUCGUGUGGCUCAGUGCAUCCCCGUUGCCACCAGCGAGUGGGGUCUCAGGGUGUCUCUGUGCCUCAGUUUCCCCUCCUCCUGUCAGGAGAAGCCCCUCUCUGCGUGGCUGAACUUGGCCAGCAGCACCACUUGCACCUGGGUUCGAGAACCCUUGUCUGGAUACUGUGGGGAAAGGGGAUGGAGGAGCUCAGCAGAUUGGGAUUUUUAGGGGGUAUUGGAUGGGGUGUAGGGGAUCUGGAGGCUGGAGGAAUAGAGGAGGGACGUGCCGGGCCUUACCGUGCUGUGCCAUCCCGGCAGGACCUCAUGCAGCUGGGGAUGGGGAUGUGGGGACGUGUUUUGCCGCUCUCUGGCAGCCGCACGGAUGGAGUUGCCAGGCAACCGCCGGGUGGAGGCGAAGCGGGAACAAAGCGGGAGCUGCCGGGACCCUCGUUCCUCCAUCUCUACCCAAACCCCCCGGGCAGUGGGGCCCAGCAGAGGCCAUGGGGUCACUUGCUGUGUCCCCCCAGCCGCUGCCACCAUCCCACCACAGGGCCGUGUUUUUGCAGGGGGUGGGCCAGGGAGAAGGGCACUUGCAGCCACUGGCCUGUCCAGAGGGUACAAGGUGGGGCUGGGGGCAGCAGGCAUGGGCAGGAUGGGCGCUCUGCACCCCGCGGGAGCGGAGCAGGAGGAUCAGCCCUAGGCAAGCGCCACAUCUCGCCCUGCCCUGCCCCGGAACCUUCCCUGGAACCUGCCCCGGCACGUCGGGGCCCGUUCCAGCCUGGCAGGCGGCGGAGGAUGGGGUCUGGCAGCCACCCCGACCUGCCCACCCUGCCCGCGGGGGGACUCAGCCCCAGGGGUGCCAGGGUGGGGGGUCUC